AGUAAUAUAUCGGAACGUGCCCAGUCGUGGGGGAGUAACGUAGCGAAAGUUACGCUAAUACCGCAUACGAUCUAAGGACGGAAAGACGGGGGACGUCGCAAGAGCCUCGCGCGAUUGGAGCGGCCGAUAUCAGAUUAGGUAGUUGGUGGGGUAAAGGCUCACCAAGCCAACGAUCUGUAGCUGGUCUGAGAGGACGACCAGCCACACUGGAACUGAGACACGGCCCAGACUCCUACGGGAGGCAGCAGUGGGGAAUUUUGGACAAUGGGCGCAAGCCUGAUCCAGCAAUGCCGCGUGCAGGAUGAAGGCCUUCGGGUUGUAAACUGCUUUUGUACGGAACGAAACGGUGAGCUCUAAUACAGUUUGCUAAUGACGGUACCGUAAGAAUAAGCACCGGCUAACUACGUG
rnacentral:rRNA from 1 species